rnacentral:rRNA from 6 species
UAAAAGUCGUAACAAGGUUUCCGUAGGUGAACCUGCGGAAGGAU